rnacentral:rRNA from 1 species
GUGAGUCAUCGAAUCUUUGAACGCACCUUGCGCUCUUUGGUAUUCCGAAGAGCAUGCCUGUUUGAGUGUCAUUAAAUUCUCAACCUCACCCAUUUUGUCAUGAAGUGGUGUGUUGGCUUGGAUGUGGAGGUUUUGCAGGUCCGGCUCUUCGAGCUGGUCUGCUCCUCUGAAAUGCAUUAGUGGGUCGUGCCCCUCAUCUAUCGGUGUGAUAAUUAUCUACGCCGUCGAUCAGUGUUGGCAACGAUGAGACCCGCUUCUAACCGUCCGACUCGGACAAUCUUGACAUUUUUGACCUCAAAUCAGGUAAGACUACCCGCUGAACUUAA